CUCUCUCUCUCUCUCUCUCUCUCUCCUUCUCUGUCUCUGUCGCUGUCCCUGUGCUGCUGCGACGCAGAGCUCGGCAAUGGGCGUUCUGCGCCACCGCCGGCUCUCUGCUGCCUUAGCCGUCUUCAUCUUCGCGGCUGUUCUUGGGAGCGCAUUGGUGGGAAUCGCGCAGGAAAUGGGAGACGCAAGGCUUCGACCUCGGGAACGGGAGCGAGUGGUGGCUCGGAGGCUCCUCCUCGGCCUCGGGUCGUCGCCGCCGACAUGCCGGGCUCGUUGCGGCCGCUGCUUCCCCUGUCGGCCGGUCCACGUGGCCAUCCAUCCUGGCCGGAACCUCCCGCUCGAGUACUACCCGGAGGCAUGGCGAUGCAAAUGCGGCAACAACAUCUUCAUGCCCUGAGACCAACGACAGAAUCCCAGAAGGAGAAAUGGAGAAUGACAAAAAGCCACUGGCUUCCACCAUUGAUGAGUUCUCUGUAACAUUUUGUGGACAUCUAAGCGUACGCGAUGCGAAUCUGCCAUGCUCGGCCUUCUUUGCGGCAAUCGGUUAUAUAGUUUAUUAGACGUUAUAA